UGAUUCCCUCAGUAACGGCGAGUGAAGCGGGAAGAGCUCAUUCUGUGAAUCUGUAUGCUCUUUUGGUAUACCGAGUUGUAGAAUAUAGAAGCACAUCAGUGCGAAUUCCGGUCUAAGUCUCUUGGAAAAGAGCAGCUAAGAGGGUGAGACUCCCGUUCUUGGCUGGAAUUCAAACUUUAGCAUGUGGUUUCGACGAGUCGAGUUGCUUGGGAUUGCAGCUCAAAGUUGGUGGUAAAUUCCAUCUAAAGCUAAAUAUCGGUGGGAGACCGAUAGCGUACAAGUACCGUGAGGGAAAGAUGCAAAGAACUUUGAAAAAAGAGUUAAAGAGUACCUGAAAUUGCUGAAAUGGAAGCGAAGGAAACCAGUGCCGUUCUGUAUCAUUCUUCCGUCCUUGCUUGCGAGGGUGGCGCUGUGAUGCAGGAUAGGCCAGCGUGGGUUUGAGCCGAAGGAAGCAGCUCUUCAGGAGGCAGCGCAAUUUCUGUGCGAUUACUGUUGAGCUUUGCUUCGGCUUGGACUGAGGCUAGUCACUUGUGCUCGUGACGCUGGCGAAAUGGUUUUCUUUACCCCGUCUUGAAACACGGACCAAGGAGUCUAACAUAUGUGCGAGUAUAUGAGUGACAAACUCACAUGCGAAAUGAAAGUAACAGUGGUUGGACCUUCUGGGCACAAUCCGCCGGCCACAAUCCUUCGGGAGAAAGGUCUGAGUGUGAGCAUACAUGUUGGGACCCGAAAGAUGGUGAACUAUGCCUGAAUAGGGUGAAGCCG
rnacentral:rRNA from 1 species